rnacentral:rRNA from 1 species
GACGAACGCGGGCGGCUUUCUUAACACAUGCAAGUCGAACGGAAAGCCCCUUUUUUUGUGGGGUGCUCGAGUGGCGAACGGGUGAUAACACGUGAGUAACCUGCCCUUGACUUUGGGAUAACUCCAGGAAACUGGGGCUAAUACCGGAUAGGAGCUCCUGCUGCAUGGUGGGGGUUGGAAAGUUUCGGCGGUUGGGGAUGGACUCGCGGCUUAUCAGCUUGUUGGUGGGGUAGUGGCUUACCAAGGCUUUGACGGGUAGCCGGCCUGAGAGGGUGACCGGCCACAUUGGGACUGAGAUACGGCCCAGACUCCUACGGGAGGCAGCAGUGGGGAAUAUUGCACAAUGGGCGGAAGCCUGAUGCAGCAACGCCGCGUGCGGGGAUGACGGCCUUUCGGGGUUUGUAAAACCCGCUUUUC